UCGCGUCACGCAUUUGCGGUUUCCGUCCACAUCAAGCCCUGCCGUCCGAUCCUCCUCCAGCUCCCUGUUUCUGAGCGCAACCGCGGCGCAGGGGGGGAAUGGAAAAUCUACGCCGUCGCUGUCGAGGGUGGCGUCUUGGCGGUCGUCGGUCGACCAAGUGGGCGGCCCGCGCUAUGGGAUAUUGGGAUUCAGCGGCAGCGGCAGCGGCAACGGCAACGGAAGCAGUGGUAGCGGUCUAGCCGUGCCGUGGGCGGCUGGGCGCUGGCCGCGGUUCUGCUUCCGAUGCGAGUGCGGAACUGCGGAUAGGCAAUGAGCAUAUUUUACCUACGUGUUCAUACAUAAAAACUUUAUAGUGUUCAUACAUAAAAACUUUAUAGAGUAGAUUUGAGUGUAAAUUUGUACCGGCAGGCACAUGUGCUUGUUUGAUUUUUCAAUCCGACACUGUUUAUCUCGUAGGCAUGAAAAAAUGGUACCAUGCCCACAAACCUAUAUACCCAUAAUGGUUA
rnacentral:lncRNA from 7 species